rnacentral:rRNA from 1 species
ACGAACGCUGGCGGCGUGGAUAAGACAUGCAAGUCGGACGAGAUUUUUCGUUGUAGCAAUACGAUGGAAGUCUAGUGGCGAACGGGUGCUUAAACCACGUGGGCACCUGCCAGGAAGUGGGGAUAGCUCGCGAAAGGCGAAUUAAUACCGCAUGUGAUUAGAGAGGGACAUCCUUUCGAAAUUAAAAGUCGGGGCAUACCUGACGCUUCUUGUGGGGCCCGGCGGCCUAUCAGCUAGUGGUGAGUGGCUAACGGGCUCACCAAGGCUUUGACGGUAGCUGGUCUGAGAGGACGACCAGCCACACUGGGACUGAGACACGGCCAGACACCUACAGGUGUGGCAGCAGUCGAGAAUUUUUGACAAUGGGGGAAACCCUGAUCGCGCGACGCCGCGUGGAGGAUUGAACUGGUCUUCGGAUUGUAAACUCCUGUCAUUGGGGAACAAGGUGCAUACGUUAACUGCGUGUGCAUUGAUAGUACCCGAAGAGGAAGAGACGGCUAACUCUGUGGCCAGCAGCGCUGCGGGUAAUACAGAGGUCUCAAGCGUUUGUUACGGAUUCAUUGGGCGUUAAAGGGUGCGUAGGCGGCGCGGUAAGUCGGGUAGUGAAAUCUCGGAGCUUAACUCCGAAACUGCAUUCGAUACUGCCGUGCUUGAAGGACUGGAGAGGGAGACUGGAAAUUUACGGUUGUAGCGGUGAAAUGCGUAGAUAUCGUAAGGAAGACCAGUGGCGAAGGCGGGUCUCUGGACAGUUCCUGACGCUGAGGCAACGAAGGGUCAGGGGAGCAAACGGGAGUUAGAUACCCCGGUAGUCCUGACAGUAAACGGUAGCACGUUUGGUGUGGGAAGGAUUCGACCCACUUCUGCGCCGGACUGCUAACGGCGUUAAACGUGCCGGCCUGGGGAGAGUACCGGUCUCGCAAGAUGUAAAACUCAAAGAAAUUUGACGGGGGCCGCGCACAAGCGGUGGAGUAUGUGGCUCAAUUCGAUGCAACGCGGAAGAACCCUUACCAGGCCUUGACAUGCAUCUCUAAGUUGGGUUGAAUAGCCAGCGAGUCCCGCAAGGGACGAUUUGCACAGGGUGCUGCAUGGCUGUCGUCAGCUCGUGUCGUGAGAUGUUGGGUUAAGUCCCGCAACGAGCGCAACCCCUGUGAACUGUUGCCACCGAGCCGUGAGGCUCGAGCACUCUGUUUCAGCUACUGCCCCGCUCCUAACGGGGAGGAAGGUUGGUGGACGACGUCAAGUCAGUAUGGCCCUUACGGCCUGGGCUCACAACGUACUACAAUGCCCAGCACAGAACUGAUCCAAGACCGCAAGGUGGAGGAAAUCUCUAAAACUGGGCCCAGUUCAGAUUGAAGUCUGCAACUCGACUUCAAUGAAGCCGGAAUCGCUAGUAAUGGCCGCAUCAGCUACGGCGCCGUGAAUACGUAUCCCGGGCCUUGUACACACCGCCCGUCACAUCGAUGGGAGUCGCUUGUAGCCGAAGUCGGCCGUGCUAACUAGCAAUAGAGGCAGCCGCCUACGCUAUGAGCGGUAACUGGGAUG